UACGGAGGGUGCAAGCGUUAUCCGGAUUCACUGGGCUUAAAGGGUGCGUAGGUGGAUUGGUAAGUCAGGGGUGAAAUCUCCGGGCUUAACCCGGAAACUGCCAUUGAUACUAUCAGUCUUGAAUACCGUGGAGGUCAGUAGAAUAUGUCAUGUAGCGGUGAAAUGCUUAGAUAUGACAUAGAAUACCAAUUGCGAAGGCAGCUGGCUACACGAAUAUUGACACUCAGGCACGAAAGCGUGGGGAUCAAACAGG
rnacentral:rRNA from 1 species